rnacentral:rRNA from 1 species
GAUGAACGCUGGCGGCGUGCCUAAUACAUGCAAGUCGAGCGAACAGACGAGGAGCUUGCUCCUCUGACGUUAGCGGCGGACGGGUGAGUAACACGUGGAUAACCUACCUAUCAGACUGGGAUCACUUCGGGACACCGGCGCUAAUCCCGGAUAAUCUCUUGAACCGCAUUGUUCAAUAGUGAAAGACGGUUUUGCUGUCUCUUCUCGCUGGAUCCGCGCCGCAUUAGCUAGUUGUUAAGUUAACGGCUUACCAAGGCAACGAUGCGUAACCGACCGGAGAGGGUGGUCGGCCACACGGGAAGGGAAACGCGGACCAGGGUCCUAAGGGAGGGAGCAGUAGGGAACGGGACGCAGUGGGGGGAAGCAUGACGGAGCAACGGCACGGGAGAUGUGGAAGUCUUGGGAGCGGGAAACUCGGUUAUUAGGGAAAAACAAAUGUGUAAGGAACUAAGCAGGGCGUGACGGUAACGGAUAAGAAAGCCACGGCUAACUACGUG